rfam:Lactobacillus pobuzihii strain NBRC 103219 NODE_8, whole genome shotgun sequence.
GGGCGGCUAGCUCAGUUGGUAGAGCAACGGACUCUUAAUCCGUGGGUCCAGGGUUCGAGCCCCUGGCCGCCCA